CAAGUAUAUUAUAAAUUGGAAGAUAAUGGGUAAUAGAUAAUUAGAUAGUUCGUAAUAUAUUGUCGUAUUUGACCAAUAUUAUUUUCUAUUAACACUAUAUACUAGCAAUAAUUCGGAGUGUCCUAUACAAUAAAGUAUAGGCAACAAUGUAUACUUACUUAUACUCGUGUUUCGUAUUAAGUGUUCACUGACCAGGAAGAAUGUUAGAACUAGAGUACACCUAUUAUGCUUAAAUCAGUGAUAUAUUGUUAAAAUUUAAUUCG